CUGAGCAGGGCUCUCUUCCACAGCUGCCAUACCUCCUUUACCUGGAACCUGGAGAUGCUCCUUGCAAUGAAUGAUCCAGAGCAGCUUAUAGUCAAAGGGAAGGCUGACUCUGGAACUCAAGCCUUCUCACUCAAAGGCCAGUAGUCUUUGUUUCUGGUGAGGGCCAGAUGAAUGAAGCAUAAAUAGUUUGUCCUGUUUUAUCAGUAGCUGUCACAAGGCAUCAUUUCUUUGGCAGCAGAUCUUAGCACAGUUUAUAUGUUUAAUAUUUAACAUAUAUCAGUAACCUAUGACUCAAGCUGAUCACAGACUCAAAUAUAAUGUACCUUGUGGAUGAGCAAGAAGUAAAAAUAGUGUAAGCAUUUCAUCUUGGCCGGGAAAUAGAUAUGAAUGUUCAUGGAAGAAUGAACAAAGGAAGAGGCUUGCAGGUUGGGUCAAUUAAUUCUCUCUCUGGAAUUUUGAACUGAGAUUCACAGAGAAGCUGUUGUGAAGGAGCCAUG
rnacentral:lncRNA from 1 species